rnacentral:rRNA from 1 species
CGAGUGGCGAACGGGUGAGUAAUGCAUCGGAACGUGCCCAUCGAUGGGGGAUAACUGCGCGAAAGCGUUGCUAAUACCGCAUACGACCUACGGGUGAAAGCAGGGGACCGCAAGGCCUUGCGUCGAUGGAGCGGCCGAUGCCGGAUUAGCUAGUUGGUGAGGUAAAGGCUCACCAAGGCGACGAUCCGUAGCUGGUCUGAGAGGACGACCCAGCCACACUGGGACUGAGACACGGCCCAGACUCCUACGGGAGGCAGCAGUGGGGAAUCUUGGACAAUGGGCGAAAGCCUGAUCCAGCAAUGCCGCGUGUGGGAAGAAGGCCCUCGGGUUGUAAACCACUUUUGGCGGGAAAGAAAUGGUCUGUGCUAAUACCACGGAUUGAUGACGGUACCCGCAGAAUAAGCACCGGCUAACUACGUG